rnacentral:ribozyme from 1 species
CCGAGCGCAAACUCGCCCCAACCGAAGCCCUUCGAGGGAUAAUACAGGCUCUUCCAUCCAACUUCGAUUCCGACAUGCUCCAUGGUGCAGAGUGGUAACAUGUGCCAUCACUUAUCCAAGCUUGGGUACACGGGCUUGACCCAAUCCCUUGGGUAGAUGAUGGCACAUGGCGAACCAGAAGGGG